rnacentral:rRNA from 1 species
AACGAACGCUGGCGGCGUGCCUAACACAUGCAAGUCGAACGAAUGUAGCAAUACAUUAGUGGCGCACGGGUGAGUAACACGUGGGAAUCUGCCUCAUAGUUCGGAAUAACACCGGGAAACUGGUGCUAAUACCGGAUACGCCCUUCGGGGGAAAGUUUUUCGCUAUGAGAUGAGCCCGCGUUGGAUUAGCUAGUUGGUGAGGUAUGGCUCACCAAGGCGACGAUCGAUAGCUGAUCUUAGAGGAUGAUCAGCCACACUGGGACUGAGACACGGCGCAGACUCCUAGGGGAGGCAGCAGUGGGGAAUAUUGGACAAUGGGGGAAAGCCUGAUCCAGCAACGCCGCGUGGAUGAUGAAGGUCUUCGGAUUGGAAAGUCCUUUUGGCGGGGACGAUGAUGACGGUACCCGCAGAAUAAGCUCCGGCUAACUUCGUGCCAGCCGCCGCAGUAA